AUGGAUGGCUCAGUGGUUAAGAGCACUGGCUGCUCUUCCAGAGGUCCUGAGUUCAAGUCCCAGCACCCAUC
rnacentral:tRNA from 1 species